rfam:Oryza brachyantha chromosome 1, whole genome shotgun sequence.
CCUCCGUCCCAUUUUCGUUUUUCCAUGUCCAAUGUUUAACCAUUCGUCUUAUUUGAAAUUUUUUUAUUAAUAUUUUUAUUGUUAUUAGAUGAUAAAAUAUGAAUAGUACUUUAUACGUGACUAAUUAAGUUUUUGUGCAAAAUUUUUCAAAUAAGACGAAUGGUCAAACGUUGGACACGGAAAAAC